AACGAACGCUGGUGGCAGGCUUAACACAUGCAAGUCGAACGCGUGUAGCAAUACACGAGUGGCGCACGGGUGAGUAACGCGUGGAUAUCUGCCUUCUGGUUCGGAAUAACCCCGGGAAACUGGGGCUAAUACCGAAUGGUUCCUACGGGAUAAAGAUUUAUCGCCAGAAGAUGAGUCCGCGUCCGAUUAGCUAGUUGGUGAGGUAACGGCUCACCAAGGCGACGAUCGGUAGCUGGUCUGAGAGGACGAUCAGCCACACUGGGACUGAGACACGGCCCAGACUCCUACGGGAGGCAGCAGUGGGGAAUAUUGGACAAUGGGGGCAACCCUGAUCCAGCCAUGCCGCGUGAGUGAUGAAGGCCUUCGGGUUGUAAAGCUCUUUUGGCGGGGACGAUGAUGACGGUACCCGCAGAAUAAGCCCCGGCUAACUUCGUGCCAGCAGCCGCCGUAAAAC
rnacentral:rRNA from 1 species